ensembl:misc_RNA Y_RNA Y RNA
GGCUGGUCCAAGUGCAGUGGUGUUUACAACUAAUUGAUCAUCACCAUUAACAGAUUUCUUUGUUCCUUCUCCACUCCCACAGCUCCAUUUUAAUAGCCUUUA